GUGUUUGCUUCUACAGCACAUACGCUAAAAAAAAUUGGAAUGAUACAGAGAUUAGCGUGGUCCCAGCAUAAGGAUAACACGCAGAUUUACCGAGCAUUCCAUAUAAAA
ensembl:snRNA U6 U6 spliceosomal RNA